UUUACAGCUUUCAAGGGCAACCAAGCAGUUUGAAAUAUUGAAAGUGCAUGGUCUUUACACAUCUCCGAAGGAAGAAUAAUUCUCUGAAGAUAAAUCAUCCCAAUUACAAUGUACACCACUCUGAAGAAAUGCAAAAUGAAGAACUAUAGCUUUGCUCUCAAGUACUUGGGCUCUGAAAUGUGUAUGUCAGCCUCCAUGUGAGAAAAUGGAUGACAUUUAAGGUGCUAAUGGAAGUCACAGAGCUGACACUGAUGUCGUAGAUUUCCCGGGCUAAGAGUGCUACAAGAUUGUGAUGUAUGCCUCCAUAAUACAACAGACAUUCGUACCGAUCUCCAAAACCUUUAACGCAGCCCGAACAAACACUCAAUCUUAUAAUUACUAAUAUUGAAUUAAACUGCAUCGAUCAUGAUCCCAUUGGCAAUCUACAGGAUGCACAGUGGAAGAGAAUAUAACCUGGUACACUACAGUUCCACAGUUCCCGGUGCUGUCAUGUUUGAACAUUUUUUUCUAUGGAAUUUAAAAGGGAAUUUUAAAGUGGAUGAUCAAUGAGGAAAUGAAUUGGAAUUGUGCUAUUGGUUUUUUGUUUCUGCAGGAACUGGUCCCCUGCAAUGGGUUCCUUCUUGACUCCUUCCACCGCCUUUUCUUCCUUCUCUGCAGAAGAGUCAUCAAAGCCAAAUACAGACUUAAUACCACUGAGCUGAUGACUGAGAGCCAUCAACAGCCUCUUGCCCAUCUUCUCAAAAUCUCCAAAACUCCAUUUAUUUAUGCAAGGGAAAUUUUAUUCAAAUGAAAAAUAAAAGCAGAGCGCACAGAGACAAA